rnacentral:rRNA from 1 species
UGGGGAAUAUUGGACAAUGGGGGCAACCCUGAUCCAGCAAUGCCGCGUGUGUGAAGAAGGCCUUCGGGUUGUAAAGCACUUUUAUCGGGAACGAAACAUUGUCGGCCAAUACCCGGCAAGACUGACGGUACCCGAGGAAUAAGCACCGGCUAACUCCGUGCCAGCAGCCGCGGUAAUACGGAGGGUGCAAGCGUUAAUCGGAAUUACUGGGCGUAAAGCGUGCGCAGGCGGUUUGUUAAGUCUGCUGUGAAAUCCCCGAGCUCAACUUGGGAAUUGCAGUGGAUACUGGCAAGCUGGAGUACGGUAGAGGAUGGUGGAAUUCCCGGUGUAGCAGUGAAAUGCGUAGAGAUCGGGAGGAACACCAGUGGCGAAGGCGGCCUUCUGGACCAGUACUGACGCUCAUGCACGAAAGCGUGGGGAGCAAACA